AUUUGUGGAAAUCUUCAUGGGACACAGCUUCUUCAAUGUCUUUUUCCUCAUGAUUCUGUUCAUGCUAUUCUACACCUGAGACCUCUUCCAAACCCUACUCUUCCUCCUGCAUUACAGGUGAGAAAAGAGACUGGGCAUUUUAUUUUUAUUUAUUUAUCUAUUAAAUUUCUAUAACACCCUUCAUCCGAGGAUCACAGGGCAGCUUACAAUAUAAAACCACAAAAUUUUAUAACAUAGUAACAAACAAGCAAAAUAAUGCCCUCACCACCAGUUUAAAAGGCCAUAUGUUGCUUAAUUAGCCAGAGGCUUAGGAGAAGAGAAAUGUUUUUGCCUGGCACCUAAAGAUUUGCAAUGAAGGUGACAGGCUUGCCUCAGGGUCAUGUCAUGCUACUGUUUCUUGUAAAAGCAAGCAUCUCAACAUUUGAAGGCAACAGACAAGUUUUCCUGAUACCAACAACAAACCCAACUUCCAAACAGCCUCUCUGAAGAAAGUCUUGCUGGUAGGCAAGACAAAUGGUAAAUUUAUAAAGACGUUGAGCUGGCUUAUUAUCAUUAUUUUAAAACUUUUAAACUCCAGCAUAUCCAGAUAUUCUACAGCUCCAUUUCAAGUACCUUACCAUUGAAUAGACCUUUCAUUUUCCCCUCCAAACCAGAGUGUAAAAGGUCAGAGACUUCAAACUGUGUCACCCCACUCCACUCAUUUCAGGCUUCCUGGGACUUCUUUUUUCAUUUUCAUAACUGCAUUUUCAAGAUUUCUUGUCAAGAGAGAUAACAUACGUAGUCCUUUAUCCUUCUUGCUUUUCCUACAAUGUCUCCAGGUGAGCAGACAUCAAGGAUGGUCUCUGAAGGAUAAGGGAUGGGUCAAGAAAUGCAGCUGUGCAGUAGCUCAGACUCAGUCUGAUUUAUUGAAGGUGUUUUUGUUGAGGGUGUAUGUAAGCAGUUUAUUAAGGCCCACAUCUUUGUUGACCACCUCAGGCCUUGCAGCACUCUUACCUUGUGCCCACUCACUGUCAGGAGCAAAGUAAUUUUCCCCACUGCUGUGCCCUCUCAAAUAACAUAGCUGGCUGAUCAGCACACAUGCUCUAAUUAUGGCUUGGGUCUUAAUAUAUGCUACAUGAAGGAAAUUUAUGGAAGGAAAGUUUUGUAUCCUUUUCUAGAUCCAGCAAAACCCCUAUUCCCAGAAAGCUGCUCUGAAAUGUUGGUUAGGUCUUCCUCAACAAUGUUGGAUGGGGUGUAGGAAGCUGUUGGGGGAUAGAUAGAGUUAUCCAAAAUUGGACUUGGGUCCUAAUGAUAAUUAAACUCUCAGGCAGCCUCUUACACCUCAUUUCAGAACUACCCUUUGACUUCCUGGGGCGGCCUUUUAAGGGAUCACAGGGAGCUACAGGGAAACAAGAGAUUGAAAACUUUCAUUCCUUCCUUGAACUUGCUUAAGUUACCUUAUCCAUUCCUGUACCUGCUUUUUUUCUUGCAUUAUUUGUUACUUGCUAGAUGCUGGCUGUGUAGCCUCCCAAUCAUAUAAAAUUAUCGUUCCAAUGGGUAGUUUUGUCUUGUAGCAUUUCAGAGUAAGGCAAGUUCAUGCUGUUCUGCAAGUGCUUUGGGUCCUAUGGUGCUUUUGCAGACCAUCUGAACUGGGCACAGAGGUUACUUGCUGUUGUGAUACUGUGCCUAGUUCUGCACCAGCUGUCCUAAGGAAGGGGUUCGCUGCUGGGUUUAUGCGGUACAAGAUGUGGCAUCUGUUGAAGAGCUAGAUCCUGAAGUGUAUUGCCACUUGGCUAUAACGUAACCCAACUAUUGUCAGCCAUUUUCAAAUUAUCAAAUGACUUCCAGCGUGUCCUGCUAUGUUAGUCCUUGGAAAAGUUGACAGGGACAAGACUGCUUCCUCACCUACAAUCCUUGAGCCAUGAUCUGAGUCCAUGUUUAUGACCACUGACUAAAUUCACUAUUUGUGGGCUGGUCUACAUGUAAGCUGUGAUGGGCUGGUCUACAUGUAAGCUGUGAUCUGCACCUCAUUGGUCUUCAAUCAGGUCUUCAAGCCACCACAAAGGACAGUUUAGCGCAGUUUUCCUGGAAAGGUAACAAUGGGGAAAUACCUUCAAGGAAGAUAGUGAUAAACCAAUGAAAGUCAGAAACCUUCUCCUUCAAUAUACAAGCAUGGGAGAAUAUCCACUGCAUUGGAAGCAUAGUGCAUUGAGAAUCUUCACUUUCCUGUCAAGUGGUUGCCACUCUCAUGGCUGUUUCCAGUCUACCAAUUUCUCCUGGUUAUUGAUAUGUGGCUUUUUUCUCCUUCAUCAGCUGAACAUAGCCCUCAGGCAUUGACCAGCAAAUAUAAAGGCAUCAAAACCACCAACCAACAGAUAACAGCAAAUAUAAAGAAGGAACUAUAACACAACUGCAAGAAAGAAAUAUGCCAAAGGAGCAUUAAAAUACAUCAUAAUUUAUCAGUGGCUGUUAAAUCAGCUGGACAAAACUACUCAAGUUACACCCUCAAAGGUUAAUCGAAAGACAGUAUUUUAGUAUUUUAAAAGUAAACACUUUGAACUUCAAACUAAUUGAAGUUUUCAACAGACUUCAAAGGCAGCCUCAUCAACUCCAGCCUGGAGGUUGCCAAGACCUGAAUGCCAGUGACCAAUUUGACCUUCUCCAGGAGCAGCCACAGACUCACCAGUAUAUGUUGCUGAAAGGCAUUCCUUGUGAUAGAUGCCAGCCAGGUUUCAGGAACAGAGUUUAGGUCUAGGAGCAGCUCAAGAGUGUAUAUGGGAAUACAACCUUCUACUGAACCUUCAUCUUCUCCUGUGUUAACUGGAAGAACUGUCAUCAACAUCUCCAUUUUGUCUGGAUCGAACCUUACUCAUUCAGCUCCUCCCUGAUUCCAAACUCUUGCAAUUUCAAAACUGCAGUAUGUAUAAAACUGAGAAGUUCUGAACAGAACUCCACAAGCUCCUUGAUUCCCCAUAGCUGCACUAAAAUAGAGCAUGGUCUGUUGUAAAUAGGAUUUAAUAAACCGAGGAGAUGUCAACAAUUCAAAAUUAGACUGUCUAAACUUCUUCUGAGGGCAAGAUGUUGGUGAUCAUAAUGCACAGCCUUAGAACAUAAGCAGUAUCAUUGCAAAGAAAGGAUUUUCUCCAGUUCCCUGUAAAUGUUUUGCUACCCACUGUAUACAUAUGACCUUCUCUAUCCAGAUAUGCUCGCUUAAAACCUAUUUAACUGAGUGCAUGAUUGCAAACCUUAGGUUAUACUGUCAUGAACUCAAAAUUAUAUGCCUCUGCUAGGUUUUAAUACUAGCUGUUAUGUGAAUCUCAACUAAUAUUGUGUGUGUAAAUGUAUUGUUUCGUCUUUCUUCAGCUCUCCUUCAUUCACCAUACGUUUUUUCAGGCAGACUUGCACAGAUAAGAUCACUUUCAUUCUCCCUUUCUAAGCAUUCUUAAAACAGUACGAUUGUUGUCAUAGUGAUACUGUAAUAUCAUGAGAAUGGGGAUGAGUAUUGUAGGAGGAGGAAGAAAGGAAGUGACUGACUUGUAUUUAAAUGCAUACACAAACAGGAUUACUGACAAUUUCUAAAUAAAGUAAGAUAACUUAUGAACACAUUAAUGGUAAAUUAAUGUUUGAUUAAAUGUGGUUUUAAUUUUUUCUCUUGUGAGAAAAUUAUUCUCUAGAUAAAAUGACAUAAAUCCUUAUCUCUAUGUGAAGACAGUGCAGUAAUUUCCAAUUAGAAGCACGCAUGAGCUGCAGACAAACUCAGAAGCUUCUAUAAUGCCUUGUUAAAUCUCUUCCACUGUAGUUAUAGGUGUAAUAUCAAUAGAGAUAACAUUUACAGGGUUAAAAGGUAAAGCAGGAAGCAGCUGGUUUAUGUUUGGUAAAUGCAGCCACAACAGUUGGGAUCUAUAGAGACAUGCAAUUCCUGCCCACGAACCAGAACUUCCUCAUUUUUUGACUGCAUCAGAGACAGUUGAAUGUCACCUCUGAAAACUUAUUGUUACCUUGCAAAGUUCCUUGAGCAAUCUUUUGGAUCCCCACCCUAAAAAAAGAAAGAAAGGUCAUUUAAUUUUCAUUCUAGAACAUCAGCUGUUAAUUCAAAAUUAGGUACAAAAUAUUUCAGGGGCUAUACAUGUAGGGGUUUCAUAGCCAAGUACAGUGGUACCUCAGGUUAAGAACUUAAUUUGUUUUGAAGGUCCGUUCUUAACCUGUUACUGUUCUUAACCCGAGGUAUCACUUUAGCUAAUGGGGCCUCCUGCUGCUGCUGCACCGCCAGAGCACAAUUUCUGUUCUCAUCCUGAAGCAAAGUUCUUAUCCCGAGGUACUAUUUCUGGGUUGGCGGAGUCUGUAACCUGAAGCGUCUGUAACCUCAGGUACCACUGUAUUGGAUUGUAUAAGUGGGGAAGAAGCUAGGUGACCUAUAUACACUUGUUUAUUUGUUGCAUUUGUUCAUGGCUUUCUUUACAAAAAUGCAAGGAUGCUCAGCACCUGCUUGCUCCUGGAAUGCCUGAUUCCAGAACUUUCCACUGUCCCCUUAUUUGGGGAACACACUGGCCGCACUUCCACUCACCUGCAUAUUGGGUACAUGGAAGCAGAGCUAUGUGUUAUCAGAGUGACUCUGGCAUCUCAGAGGCCAGUGGAGGGAAACCUCCACCCAAUGCUGCAGUACCCCCAAACAACCUAGCACAAAGUGGGGUGGAUUGUUCUGUAAACCACUGAGAUGAUUGGUCUGUAUUUUUCUUUUGAUAAAUCUAAUCUUGGAUAAACCAGCAAAUUUACCAAAGUACUUACAUAUCUGUUACAUGCAGAUGUUUACUGUUUUCAUUUUUUUGUCCAUUAAAAAUAUAUACUGCAUUGUUGAUGAACAAAGGUUUGAAAAUGAACAAAUAAGUACCGUAUAUUGCAUCACAGAUACUAUUCAUUCUUUUGAAAGUAGCAUAGGAUAUGGAAAGAUGAGACAAGGAACAUCAUGGAAUUGGCUUCUGCAGGGGGUGUUCUACAAUGCAAUAAGCUAUGAAUUUUUAUUAUAAACAUUAAUACAUUUUUACCAGUUUUCAUGUCUUAAGCCACCAAGGGGCAGCAUGGUGCAGUGAAUACUAUGUUUGGAUUGGGUGUGAGAAAUUUAGGUUCAAAUACCUGAUCAGAAUAUAGAUGAGCAUAUUACUAUGGUCACAAUCCAGAGUUGCAUUACUGGUUUUACAUGCCCACUGAAGUUUGGGGCUUGUGUUUCUCAGAAGCUAAAUAGCAAACUGUGUUUUUAAAAUUUGAGAUAAGAAUUGCAAAUUAUUUUGCAUUUUUAAUAUAUUGUUGGGAGCUGCUCUGAGUGGCUGGGACAACCCAGUUAGAUGGGAGGCAUAUACACAAUCCAUUAUUAUUAUUAUUAUUAGUAGUAGUAGUAGUAGUAGUAGUAGUAGCAGUAGAAAUGGCAUGUCUUGAAAAUAUUAUCUGUUGCACACCCCCAUAGUACUGAGGCAGUGUAACUGCUGAACUUUUACCUAAGUAGAGCCAGUGUGGUGUAGUGGUUAAGAGUGGUAGACUCGUAAUCUGGUGAACCGGGUUUGCGUCUCCGCUCCUCCACAUGCAGCUGCUGGGUGACCUUGGGCCAGUCACACUUCUUUGAAGUCUCUCAGCCCCACUCACCUCACAGAGUGUUUGUUGUGGGGGAGGAAGGGAAAGGAGAAUGUUAGCCGCUUUGAGACUCCUUCGGGUAGUGAUAAAGCGGGAUAUCAAAUCCAAACUCCUCUUCUUCUUCUUCAAGUAAGCAUAGUUUGUUGUAUAACAGUACAUUGUACUCUGAUUGGCAACAGCUUUCCAAAGUCUCAGACAACAUUCUGUUCUAGUCCUACUAUCUGAGGUUUUUUUUAAUCAAGUUUGAACUUGGGAUCUUCUCCAUGUGACAUAUACGCUCCAUCACUGAGCUGUAAACCUUCCUUCUUCAGCUUCUUUAGUCCUUUUAACUGCAUCAACGUUAGUGUCCAGAUCAAGGAAAAUAAUAGUAUCAUUCUAUUUUGCCUUGGUCAGACUAUUUUGCCUUGGUCAGGUUUGAGCAGGACUUCCCUGACUUCCCUUACAUUCUCAUUGGAUCCCAGAAUGUCCCGUUUUUUUGUCCAGUGCUCUGGCGUGAGUUAGCUGGUUCACACCAGCUAACCAAAAGACACACAUUUUUUGGUCUUGCACUCCUACAAGAGCUCAGGACACUCCCCCCCCUCCAAAGAGUGUCCUGAUAUUGAUAAAUGGGAUGAUGGAGGAUAAGCAAUUCUGUGAGAUCGGGGAUUUAAUCUGAGACCUCUAUGCAGAGCAUGCACUCUAUCUACCACAGAGCUACAACCUUUCUGAAGCAGCUAUGCUUAAUUCCAGUCUACCAUUCUGCAUAUGGGAACGCAUAUCGAAAAUCUGUUGUAGCUCAUGGACCUUGGGAAACACAGAUAAAAAGGAAAACAGAACUGUAAAGGGCAGAAACAACAGAGCAACAUGAGGCUUUGCAAGGGCCCUAAUCCAUUGUAGGCAGUUUGACACUGUGCUUCAGCGUGAUGGGAGAGGAAGAAAAUGCAUCAAGUCACCCUGCUUUACCUCAUUAUACAGACCACACACUGAACUGCUGUACACCUUUAUGUAGUUUGUUCUGGAACAACAGAGUAACUUUUUUAUUUUUUCCUGACAAAUACAGAUGUGGUCUUUUACUCUGCCCUGUGUUAUAAAUGCUGUACAACUUAAUUGGGCAUUGGCAGAACGCUUGCUUAAACCAUUAUACAUUGCAAGAAAUUAGUAGAAAUCUACAGGUUACGAACAGUGAGAAAUGAGAAGGCAAUGUUUUAUGUGAAAAUUAGAUACAAAUAAAUAAACUGUGUGAACAUUGGUAUAAAAGCAGGAAGCGAUAUCAUUACUAAUCAAUCUUGAACAUUCUGUCUCUUGCAGAUGUCGAUACAAAGUUAUGUGCUACAAUAAUUGUAGUGUAGGCUCUCUGGUAAUUACUGUUGUUCAUUUGGCAUGUUUGGAAAAAAGAAAGAACGAAAGAAAAGAGUCUUGCAGUCAGCAGCUGCAAAUCUCUAAGGAACAAGCAAAAAGAUAGCAGAAGGGUGAUAGUCAUCCAUCAUUCCUGACAAUUUCACAGCCUAGAAUAACUUGACAGAGACCCAGAACAAAAUGUUAUUGAGAAUUGAAUGCUGCUAAGCUGAGUGAAUUGACUUUCUGAUGACAAAGUGGGACUUGCUUAAAGUGGCUGGUCAUGUUUUUGUUUUAUUUAUUUAUUCUGCGCUAUACCUGUUCCUCUGUAGUGGACAUUCUGGAAUCUCUUUCUGGCCCAGGGUCAUUUGGGAUGCCACAUCUUUGCAGGGAAUUACCUUCUAAAAAAAGUUUUAAAAAAAGUAGGGCUGUCAUGCUUAACGAAUUGCAUAGUUGAUUAAUGAUCUCAUUUCCACCAAUUAAUCAUUCAAUUAAAUCUAAAUAAAUAUGCAUGUUAACACAAGCUUCCAUUCACUGUUAGAAAGAAAAGCCUAUUCUGAUUCUUAAUACAACAGGAAACUGAAAUAGACUCAAAAAUAGAAAAAAGUGUUCUUAAUUCAUAUCUUCACUGAUUAACAUUGACCCCACAACUCAGACAAACAACUCAGACAAACUAUAAUAUGCUAGCCAUUAUUACAACAACAUAGCCUAAAUCUAAGACAGAAGUUAAGCAUGAUUAAGGCUAAACAUUUCAAUGGGUUAAGCAAGAUUAAGUCUGGGUUGAAUUCACCCCAGUUGUUGUUGUUGUUGUUGUUUGCCAUAAUAGAUAACCCUGGCUAUUAUUUAAAAAACACUUUAACGCAAGUAUGAAUAUCCACUUUAGCCUUAAUUCUCCACUGGUAAAAGGAAAAUGGAGAUUCUCAGGAAGAUUAUAGGGAUGAAGUGGAAUUACAAGGCACUCUGUACCUUUAACUUGUAUCUGUUAGUGCUAUUGCAGUAGUGGAAUUUUAGUCCACUACAGGUGUUAAUCACUUUGCCAAUGCGUAAUCGUAUUUGCAUAAUCGGCAACACUGCUUUGUGAAUGGUCACUGCAAUUAUUCUACAUACAUUUAUGCUUUAAUACAGUAUCACUGUAUUUCAUUCAUUUCAUUUCUCUCUGGCAUUACUGCUAGCAUUUCUCUCUCUCACUGCCAAGUGUACCUGUGUCUACCAGCUGAGGAUAAUUCUGCAUCUGAUGAAGUGGACGAUAAUACACAAACGCUUAUGCCAUAAUAAAUCAGUUAGUCUUUAAGGCUUGAAAAGACUUUCUGUUGUUUUCACUUUGAGAGACUGACAAAGGUAGCCCUCUGGAAAUUGCUUUCGAAACUUGUUUAUUUCAGGCUUGGCCAACUUUCAACUUCUUGAGAGCCACUCUAGACCAGGUGGUGGAACAAUCCAAAUCCCUCACAGAUGGUCAGGCUUUAUAGCAACGUUGGUUUGCUUGGUAGUAAGUGCUUCACAGGUAUGUGCUCAGAUAGCAUUAAGUCAUUGAAGGGAGAGUGGCUGCAAACCAAUGAAUUUAGCAAAAUACACUUUCAAAAGGCAGAAUUGACAGUG